AACGAACGCUGGCGGCAGGCUUAACACAUGCAAGUCGAGCGCCCCGCAAGGGGAGCGGCAGACGGGUGAGUAACGCGUGGGAAUCUACCCAUCUCUACGGAAUAACGCAUGGAAACGUGUGCUAAUACCGUAUACGUCCUUCGGGAGAAAGAUUUAUCGGAGAUGGAUGAGCCAGCGUUGGAUUCGCUAGUUGGUGGGGUAAAGGCCUACCAAGGCUACGAUCCAUAGCUGGGCUGAGAGGAUGAUCAGCCAGACUGGGAAUGAGACACGGCCCAGACUCCUACGGGAGGCAGCAGUGGGGAAUAUUGGACAAUGGGCGCAAGCCUGAUCGAGCCAUGCCGCGUGAGUGAUGAAGGCCCUAGGCUUGUAAAGAUCUUUCACCGGUGAAGAUAAUGACGGUAACCGGAGAAGAAGCCCCGGCUAACUUCGUGCCAGCCGCCGCAGUAAAAC
rnacentral:rRNA from 1 species